CCCUUAGAUGUUCUGGGCUGCACGCGCGCUACACUGUCGGAUUCAGCGAGUCAUAUCCUUAACCGAAAGGUUUGGGUAAUCUUUUGAAAGUCCGACGUGAUGGGGAUUGAUCAUUGUAAUUAUUGAUCAUGAACGAGGAAUUCCUAGUAAGCGCGAGUCAUCAGCUCGCGUUGAUUACGUCCCUGCCCUUUGUACACACCGCCCGUCGCUACUACCGAUUGAAUGGUUUAGUGAGAUCUUCGGAUUGGCGCCUACGCGGCUUCUCUGAGACCACGCUGGAUGCCGAAAAGUUGCUCAAACUGUAUCAUUUAGAGGAAGUAAAAGUCGUAACA
rnacentral:rRNA from 1 species